UGAGAUGUCACAAAACCCCAGGUUGCCCCAGAGGACAUCUCGAUUGGUCCGCUGCUCUUCUCCAGGAGGACACGAGAGCUUCCCAGGUAGCGCCUGGCCCAAGAUGACACAACGGACAUUUCUGGAGAUGUUGCUCAUGCCCAGUUCUGUGGCCAGGCCCUGCUACCCAUGGGAGGCUGCAGGCUCGGAGCUGCCUCCUCCUUCGGGGCGACGCGGAGCGAUGGGGCUGCGACCACAGAGCUGCCAGGAGAAGAAGAUUCACAGCCUCUCAGCUCUGCUGACGGCUCUAUCCCUCAGCAGCCCCGCCGUAAACACGCACAGCAAUAACUGUGCAUGCACAACAAAGGCUGUUGCUAAUAGAUUGUACCGCUUGUUGCCACUCGGCUAAGAAUGUCCUGCUAAUUUUUUGUUUUCACCGAAUUUUCCACUUGAAAUAUGAGAGUGGAAGCGAA